GACGUAGGAGGCGAGCGUUGUCCGGAUUCAUUGGGCGUAAAGAGCGCGCAGGCGGCUUGGUAAGUCGGAUGUGAAAUCCCGAGGCUCAACCUCGGGUCUGCAUCCGAUACUGCCCGGCUAGAGGUAGGUAGGGGAGAUCGGAAUUCCUGGUGUAGCGGUGAAAUGCGCAGAUAUCAGGAGGAACACCGGUGGCGAAGGCGCCACUCUGGGCCGAAACUGACGCUGAGGAGCGAAAGCAUGGGUAGCAAACAGG
rnacentral:rRNA from 1 species